GUUUUACCUUGACGAAUUGUAGUUUAAAGAAGUGUUUUCUGUUGAAGUUUUGGUAAAAGUUCUUUGGAAUAGGACAUCAUAGAGGGUGAGAAUCCCGUAUUUGACCAUUAUUUUCAGCUGUGUGAAACACUUUCAAAGAGUCGGAUUGUUUGGGAAUGCAGUCCAAAAUGGGUGGUAAAUUUCAUCUAAAGCUAAAUAUUGGCGAGAGACCGAUAGCGAACAAGUACCGUGAGGGAAAGAUGAAAAGAACUUUGAAAAGAGAGUUAAACAGUACGUGAAAUUGUCAAAAGGGAAGCGUUUGACACCAGUGUUGUUUCCUCGAAAAUCAAUUAAAAAAAGUUGGAUUUUGUGUUGUAUUGACCUUAACAGCUUUCUGCACUCUUUUCCUGCUUUUUUU
rnacentral:rRNA from 1 species